rnacentral:rRNA from 1 species
GACGAACGCUGGCGGCGUGCCUAAUACAUGCAAGUAGAACGCUGAAGGGAGGAGCUUGCUCUUCUUGGAUGAGUUGCGAACGGGUGAGUAACGCGUAGGUAACCUGCCUUGUAGCGGGGGAUAACUAUUGGAAACGAUAGCUAAUACCGCAUAACAAUGGAUGACACAUGUCAUUUAUUUGAAAGGGGCAAUUGCUCCACUACAAGAUGGACCUGCGUUGUAUUAGCUAGUAGGUGAGGUAAUGGCUCACCUAGGCGACGAUACAUAGCCGACCUGAGAGGGGGAUCGGCCACACUGGGACUGAGACACGGCCCAGACUCCUACGGGAGGCAGCAGUAGGGAAUCUUCGGCAAUGGGGGCAACCCUGACCGAGCAACGCCGCGUGAGUGAAGAAGGUUUUCGGAUCGUAAAGCUCUGUUGUAAGUCAAGAACGGGUGUGAGAGUGGAAAGUUCACACUGUGACGGUAGCUUACCAGAAAGGGACGGCUAACUACGUG